GACGAACGCUGGCGGCGUGCUUAACACAUGCAAGUCGAACGGAAAGGCCCUGCUUGCAUGGUCCUCGAGUUGCGAACUGGUGAGUAGCACGUGGGUGAUCUGCCCUGCACUUCUUGAUAAGCCUUGGAAACUGGGUCUAAUACCUGAUAGGAGCCAUUUUUUGUGUGAUGGUUGGAAAGUUUUUUCGGUGUAGGAUGAUCUCGCGGCCUAUCAGCUUGUUGGUGGGGUAAUGGCCUACCAAGGCGGCGACGGGUAGCCGGCCUGAGAGGGUGGACGGCCACAUUGGGACUGAGAUACGGCAGAGACUCCGACGGGAGGAAGAAGUGGGGAAGAUUGAACAAUGGGCGCAAGCCUGAUGAAGCGACGCCGCGUGGGGGAUGACGGGCUUCGGGUUGUAAAAUCCGUUCGCGAGGGAAGAAGCUUUUUGUGACGGUACCUAGAUAAGAAGCACCGGCUAACUACGUG
rnacentral:rRNA from 1 species